GAUCCAGUGGCGCAAUCGGUUAGCGCGCCGUAUACUUAAUGCGGAGGUUGUGAGUUCGAGCCUCACUUGGAGCA
rnacentral:tRNA from 1 species